rnacentral:rRNA from 1 species
CCAAUAGCGUAUAUUAAAGUUGUUGCAGUUAAAAAGCUCGUAGUUGAAUUUCGGGGUUAGUAGGUUGGUCAUGCCUCUGGUAUGUACUGGUCUCACUGAUUCCUCCUUCCUGAUGAACCUUAAUGCCAUUAAUUUGGUGUUUUGGGGAAUUUGGACUGUUACUUUGAAAAAAUUAGAGUGUUUAAAGCAAGCUAACGCUUGAAUACAUUAGCAUGGAAUAAUGAAAUAGGACGUUCGAUCCUAUUUUGUUGGUUUCUAGGAUUGACGUAAUGAUUAAUAGGGAUAGUUGGGGGCAUUAGUAUUCAAUUGUCAGAGGUGAAAUUCUUGGAUUUAUUGAAGACUAACUACUGCGAAAGCAUUCGCCAAGGAUGUUUUCAUUAAUCAAGAACGAAAGUUAGGGGAUCGAAGACGAUCAGAUACCGUCGUAGUCUUAACCAUAAACUAUGCCGACUAGGGAUCGGAUGAUGUUAAUUUUUUAAUGACUCAUUCGGCGCCUUACG